GAUGAACGCUGGCGGCGUGCCUAAUACAUGCCAGUCGAGCGAACGGACGAGAAGCUUGCUUCUCUGAUGUUAGCGGCGGACGGGUGAGUAACACGUGGAUAACCUACUUAUAAGACUGGGAUAACUUCGGGAAACCGGAGCUAAUACCGGAUGAUAUUUUGAACCGCAUGGUUCAAAAGUGAAAGACGGUCUUGCUGUCACUUAUAGAUGGAUCCGCGCUGCAUUAGCUAGUUGGUAAGGUAACGGCUUACCAAGGAAACGAUGCAUAGCCGACCUGAGAGGGUGAUCGGCCACACUGGAACUGAGACACGGUCCAGACUCCUACGGGAGGCAGCAGUAGGGAAUCUUCCGCAAUGGGCGAAAGCCUGACGGAGCAACGCCGCGUGAGUGAUGAAGGUCUUCGGAUCGUAAAACUCUGUUAUUAGGGAAGAACAUAUGUGUAAGUAACUGUGCACAUCUUGACGGUACCUAAUCAGAAAGCCACGGCUAACUACGUG
rnacentral:rRNA from 1 species